rnacentral:rRNA from 1 species
AGAGUUAAACAGUACGUGAAAUUGUUGAAAGGGAAACGAUUGAAGCCAGUCGUACUAACGGGAAAUCAACUUCUCGAGUGCUUGUCGUGGGUGACGUAGAGCUUCACGGCCUUCGUUGCUUGCGUUAUGGUGCUUUUGGGGUGUACUUUUCCGUAUGGUAGGUCAACAUCGAUUUUGAUCGUCAUAAAAUGAUCGGAGGAAUGUAGCUUUGAUCUCGUAUUGAAGUGUUAUAGCCUCUGGUAGAUGUGACGAUUGGGAUCGAGGAUUGCAACGAAUACCCUUCGGGCUAUCCGUCUGGCCUCUGAAAGUCGCUAGUGUGUGGCAAGCGUGCUUAUAGCAUUCUAGUUGGCGGUCAAAAGGUUAGAGCGCGAUUACAUUCGUUAAGGAUGUUGACGUAAUGGCUUUAAACGACC